rnacentral:rRNA from 1 species
AUGACGGCGAUGCUCCGAUCUGCGCUUGGGUCCGCGCUCCGGCCUCCCGCACCGGCCUCCCGCUUCUUCCGCAAGGGCGUCUCCGGAAGCCGCGACGCCACAAGGCGGAAGUUGUCCUCCAGUGGCCGAGAUGGAUCAAACAACAGCACACCUGCCGAUCUUUUUGGUGAUGGUUCCUCCAAGACCUGGAGAAGGCCAGAAGUUGUGUUUAUCACCGCAGCAGCCCUCUCAAUGGCUACCUACACAUACAUUGUGAAUGGGAAGACCGUGUUAGGGUACCAGCGUGAAGUGAUGGAGAACCAGGACGAGGUGAAGCCGGAGAAAGACAACGCCAUCUAG